AUUGAACGCUGGCGGCAGGCCUAACACAUGCAAGUCGAGCGGAGCGGCGGACGGGUGAGUAAUGCCUAGGAAUCUGCCUGGUAGUGGGGGAUAACGUCAGGAAACGGGCGCUCAUACCGCAUAAUAUCAGAUGAGCCUAGGUCGGCAUAGCUAGUUGGUGGGGUAAAGGCCUACCAAGGCGACGAUCCGGAACUGGUCUGAGAGGAUGUUCAGUCACACUGGAACGUAGACACGUUCCAGACUCCGAAGAGAGGCAGCAGUGGGGAAUAUUGGACAAUGGGCGAAAGCCUGUUCCAGCCAUGCCGCGUGUGGGAAGAAGGUCUUCGGAUUGUAAAGCACAUUAAGUUGGGAGGCGUUACCAACAGAAUAAGCACCGGCUAACUUCGUGCCAGCAGCCGCGGUAAUUC
rnacentral:rRNA from 1 species